AGCCCUCUGUAUUUGUGCUGAGAUUUCGUCAGAGAUCAACCUUUUGGCGUUGGCUGAUGGUACUUCACAAAUAAGUAAAGUG
rnacentral:pre_miRNA from 1 species